UCGAGAAUUUUUCUCAAUGGGGGAAACCCUGAAGGAGCGACGCCGCGUGGAGGAUGAAGGUCUUCGGAUUGUAAACUCCUGUCAUUGGGGAACAAUUGUCACACGUUAACUGCGUGGGGCUUGAUAGUACCCGAAGAGGAAGAGACGGCUAACUCUGUGCCAGCAGCCGCGGUAAUACAGAGGUCUCAAGCGUUGUUCGGAUUCAUUGGGCGUAAAGGGUGCGUAGGUGGCGGGGUAAGUCGGAUGUGAAAUCUCAGGGCUCAACCCUGAAACUGCAUUCGAUACUGCCUUGCUCGAGGACUGGAGAGGAGAUUGGAAUUCACGGUGUAGCAGUGAAAUGCGUAGAUAUCGUGAGGAAGACCAGUGGCGAAGGCGGAUCUCUGGACAGUUCCUGACACUGAGGCACGAAGGCCAGGGGAGCAAACGG
rnacentral:rRNA from 1 species